CCUACGGGUGGCAGCAGUGGGGAAUAUUGCACAAUGGGCGCAAGCCUGAUGCAGCCAUGCCGCGUGUGUGAAGAAGGCCUUGGGGUUGUAAAGCACUUUCAGCGGGGAGGAAGGCGGUGAGGUUAAUAACCUCAUCGAUUGACGUUACCCGCAGAAGAAGCACCGGCUAACUCCGUGCCAGCAGCCGCGGUAAUACGGAGGGUGCAAGCGUUAAUCGGAAUUACUGGGCGUAAAGCGCACGCAGGCGGUCUGUCAAGUCGGAUGUGAAAUCCCCGGGCUCAACCUGGGAACUGCAUUCGAAACUGGCAGGCUAGAGUCUUGUAGAGGGGGGUAGAAUUCCAGGUGUAGCGGUGAAAUGCGUAGAGAUCUGGAGGAAUACCGGUGGCGAAGGCGGCCCCCUGGACAAAGACUGACGCUCAGGUGCGAAAGCGUGGGGAGCAAACAGGAUUAGAUACCCUAGUAGUC
rnacentral:rRNA from 1 species